AGCUCCAAUAGCGUAUAUUAAAGUUGUUGCAGUUAGAACGCUCGUAGUCGGAUUUCGGGGCGGGCCGACCGGUCUGCCGAUGGGUACGCACUGGUCGGCGCGUCCUUCCUUCCGGAGACCGUGCCUACUCUUAACUGAGCGGGGGCGGGAGACGGAACGUUUACUUUGAAAAAAUCAGAGUGUUUCAAGCAGGCAGCUCGCUCUUGCAUGGAUUAGCAUGGGAUAAUGAAAUAGGACUUUGGUGCUAUUUUGUUGGUUUCGAACACCGAAGUAAUGAUGAGAAGGGACAGUCAGGGGCACUCGUAUUCCGCCGAGAGAGGUGAAAUUCUCAGACCAGCGGAAGACGAACCACUGCGAAAGCAUUUGCCAGGGAUGUUUUCACUG
rnacentral:rRNA from 1 species